rnacentral:ncRNA from 2 species
CUCUCGCCCGCGGGAGAGACCGAUUAACCUCGGCGCCGAAGGAGCAACGACCCGGAAACUCUCAGGCAAACGGACCGCGGAGCGUAA